rnacentral:ncRNA from 2 species
GAACAGCAAAAUAGUUCAGGUGCUUAGCCGGAGGCAACCCCUCCGGACAGCUUAAAAGGGGAAAUGGGUUAAAAUCCCAUGCGGUCCCGCCACUGUAAAAGGGGAGUAGCCUAUAUAUACCACUGGAGCUUGUGCUCUGGGAAGGUGUAGGUAUACGAUGAACUCAAGCCAGGAGACCUACCUGAAUUUGAAGCUUACC